rnacentral:rRNA from 1 species
UGGGGAAUCUUGCACAAUGGGCGAAAGCCUGAUGCAGCCAUGCCGCGUGAAUGAUGACGGCCUUAGGGUUGUAAAAUUCUUUCGCCAGGGAUGAUAAUGACAGUACCUGGUAAAGAAGCCCCGGCUAACUUCGUGCCAGCAGCCGCGGUAAUACGAAGGGGGCUAGCGUUGUUCGGAAUUACUGGGCGUAAAGCGCGCGUAGGCGGGCUAUUAAGCCAGAUGUGAAAGCCCGGGGCUCAACCCCGGAAUUGCAUUUGGAACUGGUAGCCUAGAGACCAGGAGAGGUUAGCGGAAUACCGAGUGUAGAGGUGAAAUUCGUAGAUAUUCGGUGGAACACCAGUGGCGAAGGC